CUCCUCCACUGCCCUGGAUCAAUUGUGAAUAGGAUGUGAAAGUAGAAAGAAAGAAAGCAGAGCCAUUACUCAUGAGUGUGUUUGUGGGGUGGUCUUGCAGAGUGCUCAAGAGGACGGAUGUGGUGUCAAUAUUUCGGAAAGGGGAAGCACAUUAACGUUUGCUCAAAAGGUCAUGUUCAUUUCCUUUUGUUGGUUAUUCCAUUACAAAGAGACUUCUGUGAAGAUAACACCAAGGCAUGACAAUCCUUGGCAUUAAUGAGGGGGCCGUGCUGAUGCUUGUGUCUUCAGCCUCACUCAGCAUGCUAUGUCUUCUGUGUCUCAAGUGCAAAAAGAAAUCCAAAAUCAUCCAACAGGAUUCCUCGAUAUAUGACCCUCAGAUAUUCCAACGUGAAGGCAGCCGAUUUGCUGUCACACGCUCAAAGACAGUAACGCGGCCCAAUCAAAUGAAAACACAGAACCAAGAGUAUGUAUGCAACAUGAGCUCAGCUCCAUUAACCUACAAAAAUGGUUUUGUAAAACUUUAUGUAUUUAAUCUCACUCAAACAUAUGUAAUUUUCAGGGAAACUGAAGUGAGACAUUCCCAUAUCUCUCAAUCUGCAAAUGAAGAUUACACAUUUGUCAUUGGUGACCAAGAGGGCUUUGACGCUACAUAUGUCUCCCCACUUCCAAUUGCAGUGUAUGGAAACAUUGAGGAAAUGAAACAAGCAGCAUCUGCUUCCAAUUUAUGUGACUAUGAAAAUAUUUUGACUGCUUCAUCGAUCAACGAUGAUGAGGAUUAUGAAAACUCUGAAUUCUUAAAAAACGUUGAGGAUUUAACAGAUGACCCAGACUAUGUGAAUACCCAACAGGGUGCUUGCUGAUAUGAACACCACCAGAUAGAGGAGGAAUUCUCAUGGCUCAAUAAGCAGGAGGAGCCAAACAUAGUCUCUGCUAUUCAUAGCAGAGACCUGUGUUAAUGACAGAGAGCCUCACCGGUCAAACUCCAAUGAAAAAGGCUUACAAGAAAAGUAAAAAUAAUAAUAAAUAUUCAAUAUUUAUCUAUGAUCUUUGUAACAAAUGUAUCUUUGUAUGAUUCAUUUCAGAAAAAAAGGUGUUCCAAGAAGUGAGAAAAUCUUAACUUUUUCUGAUAUGCCAUUAGAAGAUACAUCUGUUAAUAAAUAUUUAGGAUUUCCAUUCGAUGAAUUUAUGAAUUAUGAAAAUGGAAUUAAACUCCUGGCUGAUUCAGCUGGUAGAGCUUUGGUUCCGUUGUUAACAAGUUAAAAAUAGGUAAAGACCUUGGUUAUUCUACUUACUCUCAAUUUUAUGAUGCAUGUGUUUCUCCAAUUGUGAAUUAUGCUGCUGGGGUAUGGGGAUUUAAAGAAAGAAAGAUCUCAGAUGCAGUACAAAACAGAGCAAUACGUUGUUUUCUGGGUAUUCAUAUAUAUGUUCCCUCUUUGGCUCUUUUGGGUUGGAUUCCUGCUACAAUAAGGAGAAAGGUUGAUAUGAUUAGACUGUGGAAUCGUUGUGUUAAUAUGUCCGAUGACAGGAUCAAUAAGAAAGUUUUCCUUUGGAGUAAAGUCCAGAACUCUCCAUGGGCCGCAGAGAUUCAUGCUGUCUUUGAAGAAGCCGAAUUUCAGUAUAUCUAUAGAAAUAAUUGAUCAUGCAGCAUAAACAAAAUGAGAAAAAAGUUACUUGUCGGGUACAAUGAAAAAUGGUUAAAUGAUAUAAUGUUAAAACCGAAAUUACGGACAUACAUCCAAAUCAAGCAUAAUUAUGAAACAGAAUUAUAUGUUAAAACAAAUUUACCAAUAAAUCAGAGAUCCUAGAUUGCCCAAUUAAGAAUGGGAAUCCUUCCCCUGGCACUUGAGGUCGGCAGAUUUAAAAAUAUCCCAGAGGAACAGAGACUUUGUGAACUUUGUGAUUUACAAGAAGUGGAUAAUGAAUCUCAUUUUCAUUUAUACUGUCCCUUCUGUGAUGAACUAAGAGUACCUUUUGUAAAUGAACUGUUUGCUCAAAACCCUGAAAUAUUUUGGAGUAAUGAUGUCAGGAUGGAAUGUUUGUUUACCUUUAAUGUUUAUAAGUUAGCCUCUUUUGUUACUAAAGCCUGGAUGAAACGUCAGGAUGGUUAAUAUCGUUAAUGUUAGUAUUGUUAAGCAUCUAUGUUUUAUGUUAAGCAUGUUUUAUGAUGGUGUCUUGUAAGCCCUUGUGGGCUGGGCAUGCUAAUGCAUGAAACAAUAAAAAAAAAUAAAAAAAUAAAAAAUGCAAUCAUUUUUAAUAGUCAAAUUUGAGAAAUGUGCAGAGCUCCAAUGCUAAUACAGAAGAAAUGAUUCAGCGGUGAGCUCAGCCUCCCCUCUGAUUCGCAGUGGAGUGGGGCGAUAGGCGCCUGCCUGUCACUCUCUUUCUGUAGGUCAACAAUGUUGGGCUGGUGGACCCCGUCAUUACUUGUCCUCGCUUUCCAUAUUCCAGGUAAUUUAUGCCAUGUGUGUAUUAUAUAUUCAGGCUCGCUGACCUCUUCAUGGGCUGUGGAGCCCAUGAUAAAC
ensembl:lncRNA